UGCAGUCGACGAUGAAGCCCUUCGGGGUGGAUUAGUGGCGAACGGGUGAGUAACACGUGGGCAAUCUGCCCUUCACUCUGGGACAAGCCCUGGAAACGGGGUCUAAUACCGGAUAACACUCUGUCCCGCAUGGGACGGGGUUAAAAGCUCCGGCGGUGAAGGAUGAGCCCGCGGCCUAUCAGCUUGUUGGUGGGGUAAUGGCCUACCAAGGCGACGACGGGUAGCCGGCCUGAGAGGGCGACCGGCCACACUGGGACUGAGACACGGCCCAGACUCCUACGGGAGGCAGCAGUGGGGAAUAUUGCACAAUGGGCGAAAGCCUGAUGCAGCGACGCCGCGUGAGGGAUGACGGCCUUCGGGUUGUAAACCUCUUUCAGCAGGGAAGAAGCGAAAGUGACGGUACCUGCAGAAGAAGCGCCGGCUAACUACGUGCCAGCAGCCGCGGUAAUACGUAGGGCGCAAGCGUUGUCCGGAAUUAUUGGGCGUAAAGAGCUCGUAGGCGGCUUGUCACGUCGGAUGUGAAAGCCCGGGGCUUAACCCCGGGUCUGCAUUCGAUACGGGCUAGCUAGAGUGUGGUAGGGGAGAUCGGAA
rnacentral:rRNA from 1 species